AGAGAGAGACAUGCGCGCAUAUCAAUAAGCGGAGGAAAAGAAACUAACAAGGAUUCCCUUAGUAACGGCGAGUGAAGCGGGAAGAGCUCAAAUUUGAAAUCUUCAAGGUUCUACCUUGACGAAUUGUAGUUUAUAGAAGUGUUUUCUGUUAGUGGAGUGGCAAAAGUUCUUUGGAAUAGGACAUCAUAGAGGGUGAGAAUCCCGUAUUUGGUCAUUCCUCCUAGCGUUGUGAUACACUUUCAACGAGUCGGAUUGUUUGGGAAUGCAGUCCAAAAUGGGUGGUAAAUUUCAUCUAAAGCUAAAUAUUGGCGAGAGACCGAUAGCGAGCAAGUACCGUGAGGGAAAGAUGAAAAGAACUUUGAAAAGAGAGUUAAACAGUACGUGAAAUUGUCAAAAGGGAAGCGUUUGACACCAGUGUUGUUUUUCCGAAAAUCAAUUACGAAUGUUUUAUUUUUGAGGAGUUAUGACUUCAUCGGCUUGCUCCUUUCUUUACGAAACUUUCUUAAUGCACUUUUCGGUUAACAAGUCAACAUCAAUUUCUUUUGUUGUAAAAGGGUAUGAGGAAGGUGGCUUUCUUUUCGGAGAAAGUGUUUAUAGCCUUGUGCCUCUGCAAUCGGAGAGAUUGAGGUCUGCAGCGUAGAUCCUUCGGGGUUAGAUACGUUUGUGCUAAGUUAUAGCUUUUCAUAGACAACUUGUUGACUAUGUUUAGUCUUGUAGCUUACUCGCUGACGCUAUUUUACCUACGCUUAGGAUGUUGAUAGUCACAGCGUGUAC
rnacentral:rRNA from 1 species